AUUUGUAAUAAUUAAAUGAUAUUAAAUAUUUUGGAAGUUUUAUUUUAGUAACUAAUCGUGUAGUUAAUGUGGAGAGAUUUUGGGAAGAUUGUCAAAUAUUAAAUUCAAAGAUUUUCUUUCUAAUUAUCAAAAACAAUUAUUAAAUGUCAGUGACAACCACUGUAAAUAAAUCUCAACUCCAGGAUUUAUUUCACAAAGUGGCUGCAAAAAUGUAUAUGUAGAUUAGAAAUUGUAACAUUCGUUUAUGCUUAUUGCUUAAUGACUGCAUUAACAUGUAGGUUCAUCUAU
rnacentral:sRNA from 1 species